rnacentral:rRNA from 1 species
UACGGAGGGUGCGAGCGUUGUCCGGAAUCAUUGGGCGUAAAGCGCGUGUAGGCGGUCCGGCAAGUCGGUUGUGAAAGUCCAGGGCUCAACCCUGGGAUGCCGAUCGAUACUGCCGGACUAGAGUCCGGAAGAGGCGAGUGGAAUUCCCGGUGUAGCGGUGAAAUGCGCAGAUAUCGGGAGGAACACCAAUGGCGAAGGCAGCUCGCUGGGACGGUACUGACGCUGAGACGCGAAAGCGUGGGAGCAAACAGGG